rnacentral:tRNA from 1 species
GAUUCAGUGGUGUAGUGGUAUCACGGGCGCUUGCCAAACAAGUUUGCGCCCGACCCGGGUUCGAUUCCCGGCUGAUUCA